GUGUCAGCCGCCGCGGUAAUACGUAGGGGGCAAGCGUUGUCCGGAUUUAUUGGGCGUAAAGAGCUCGUAGGCGGCUCGAAAAGUCGGCGGUGAAAACUCGGGACUCAACUCCGAGGCGCCCGUCGAUACUGUCGAGCUUGAGUCCGGUAGGGGAGUGUGGAAUUCCUGGUGUAGCGGUGAAAUGCGCAGAUAUCAGGAGGAACACCGAUGGCGAAGGCAGCACUCUGGGCCGGCACUGACGCUGAGGAGCGAAAGCUAGGGGAGCAAACAGGAUUAGAAACCCGGGUAGUCC
rnacentral:rRNA from 1 species